CUGAUGUUAGCGGCGGACGGGUGAGUAACACGUGGGUAACCUACCUAUAAGACUGGGAUAACUCCGGGAAACCGGGGCUAAUACCGGAUAAUAUUUUGAACUGCAUGGUUCAAUAGUGAAAGACGGUUUCGGCUGUCACUUAUAGAUGGACCCGCGCCGUAUUAGCUAGUUGGUAAGGUAACGGCUUACCAAGGCGACGAUACGUAGCCGACCUGAGAGGGUGAUCGGCCACACUGGAACUGAGACACGGUCCAGACUCCUACGGGAGGCAGCAGCA
rnacentral:rRNA from 1 species